AUAUAACAAUUGAGCAGGCAGUAAAUAGAGACACGAUCUGUGAAGAUUGGGUACGCACUUGCACAGCAGUCAACAUGCCCCUUUCCGAAAGUGAUCACCCCUCCAUGAGGCAGUUUUUGAAGGAUAAAGUCAUCAAUGGAGGUGCCAUCCAUGGAUACCACCAGCAACAGGAAAAGUACUUGGGAGAUGUCUACCUGAAGGUGAAGGGAAGAACUCAAGCAACAUCUUGCAGGGAAACCAGUGGCAGUCAUCUUCGAUGAAACUCCAGAGGUUGAAGGAAGAUGUGUACUAAACAUCAUCACAUCACUUGAAAAGGAUACCUCGGAGAGAAUUCUUGCCUACCUCGACAGAGACGGUGUUUCUGGGGCAGUGCAACCAUUCAACAGUUUCCACGGCGGUGGUGAAACGUCUACGUGACGACAAUCACCAAUGAUGACGUCAUUGUCUUUGACACAGACAAUGCUGCGUACAUGAAGAAAGCCGACAGAGCUGCACUUCAGUCGUUGUUCCCCAUCUCCCUGCACAUAACAUGCAUGGUUCCCAUCAUGAAUCUGAUAAGGAUUGCUCUCUGCAAAACUUUUGAUCAGCUGGACGCAUUCACGCUACGUUUUCGCAGAUGUUUUACCAGCACGCAGAAUAAGAUACCUUUACCUUCCUCACCACCAAACUGGCAGGACGGAAGAGAGCAACUAUGGCUCCCAAUCCAUGUGCAACACGCUGGAACUCACGGUUCUCAGCAGUGCAGUACCACUCACAGCUGUUUGGCCUCUACAAGGGGUUCAUAAAGAUGGAAAUACAGAUGUGUGGCCCGAGGUACGAGAUGCUACAAGACCAAGAGCAGGUUCAGUCGCUGCAGAUUCAGCUGAACAUCAUGGCAGACAUGUUCAAAGUCGUCCUGCAGCUUCUCGACGUCUUCCAGAGCAGACGCCCGUGACAACAAAGAUCUUUCACUAUUUAGAGGACUUGCAGAUGAACAUUGCAGCCGUCAAAGAACUACAGUAGGAGGCUUGUUCACACUGCUUUGACACAGUUGACGACGUACCCUUUGCUGUGAAAACAAAAAUCUUGAGCACCGUUGAAGAGGCAUACAGCAAUGCAGAGGAAAAACUCCAUGGCAAACUGUCAGAUAGUCAGCCUGCCCUGGAGCUCCUCCAAGACGUUAGGGUGUUUGAUCAACGUCACAUUGCGUUCAUGGAUGACAGAGUGUCCAGCUACAAGGCUAUUACAGGCUUCAGUAAGGUGCCACGAGAUGAACUGGAUGCCUACUUGACCAAUGUAGGACCAGCAGCACUUAGAGCCACAGUGAGUGGGGUGGUGGAUUUGGAUAUCUUCUGGGAUGGACAUCAAGAGAGACUUCCUGUGCUGAGCACCCUGGCCAAACGCUACAAAGAUGCAGUCUCAAACUCAGCUCAUGCUGAGCGAAGCAACAGUAUCUACAAGCUUGUGUUGUCCAGCCGUAGGCGAUCAACCUCCAACAACAACCUACGAGCCUUGGUCUUCAUGUACCACAACCGACGACUCCACAGUGGAGCAAUUGAUAUGGAGGAGGAUAGGGAGGAUGAAACGGAGGAUGAAAUGGAUGAUUACAUUGAGAUAUAGGCCUAGAUGAGCUAGGACCUUGGUCACACCCACCUCUUGUUAUGUGCAGAAAAAUAUGUUUUUGUUAAAAAAAAGAAACAGCCCAAAAGAUUUGUCUAAUUGUUUUCAUGAAAGAUGAACUUAUAUAAUAUGUCUUAAUUACAGAUUGGACCACAGGUGUUUCUUUUGUCCUAGUUUAAUAUUUUUUAGUACCUACAUAUUAUGGGGGCAUGCAUUUUGUUUAUGUUGGAACUCUGAGCUAGCUUCCACCCUUUUUUUUGUUCAGAAAAAGAGCUGUUUGUUUAGGAAAAUAAACAAAAUUGAGCACUUUAAAUGUUUCUAAUUUUAUCCCGCUUAAAAUCGUCCUAAAACUGAGCACAUAUUACUUUUUAAGGCUUUAUAUGAAAUGAACGUGAAAAAAAAACAUUGCAAAAUGUAUGGCAGAAUUUCAGAAAAGCUGCUGCAAAAUCAAGCAUCUGUGGCUGCAGAAAUCACWAAAAAGUUUUGCGAAAUCCUGGAGGGACUCAUAAUAAUAUAUAUUUUUUUAAAUAGUCCUCCCGGG